rnacentral:lncRNA from 1 species
UUUUAAUCUACUAAGCAUAUUUUAGGUUUAAUAAGCGAACAAAUUAUUCUUGUAUGAGUACAGCUGAAACGCACAGGCGCGUAAUAAUAUUAUAACAAUUAUACGAAUAAGGUCCGAGUGUGUAACUAUUAUAAUUCGACACACGCUGGUGUUGAUGCAAAAAUUUGAGUUCAUCGCCCCCCCGGAUAGAGAAUAGCGCUACAUAAUUAAUUAAAUACAAAAAAAAAAAAUAAAAAUAAAUAAAUAAAUAAUUAUAAUAAUAACAUUAAUAUAGCAUAAUUCACUCGAGUUAUUAUAUGUAUACAGAGGCAGUAUGUUAUGAACAAGGACGUCCAUUUAUAAAAAAAAAAAAAAAAAUCUGGUGGUAGGGUACAAGUUACAUUAUUAUGAACUGUAUUGUUCCGUUAUAUUGGUCAACCUGUCUUGGUAUAUUGUUUAACUGUAUACAUCAGUUGUUACAAUGUAUAACAGGCCCCUUGAUCCCCCCUAAAUGGACGCCUAUGCUUAUACACACAGAUAAGUGCAUAAUAAUAAAACAUAUUUUGAACAGUUACUAAAUACAUAAUGUUAUCUUAAUUUUAAAAUACCUACUAACCUAUUACAACCGGUGGCGUAAACUAUGGAGCCGGGGACCUAUCGUUGUGAAUGCACGUGGAAAAACAAAAAUUAGUCAGUUUAAAAAUCAAGUAAAUGAAAAGUGAAUUUUAAGUGAAAUUUAAGUUAAAAUUAAACGUAAUUAUUGUUAAACUACCGUUAAUGUCCACUAUUAUUGUCUAUAAUUAUUAAUUAUUUGUAGAACCCCAAAGAGAAAAAAAAAAAUGUAUAGGUGUACCUAAUAAUAAGUAGGUAGGUAAACACGGGUAUGUAAAACGCGGGACGAUUUUGUGCCGUUUAUUUUCAAUUGCCGAGUGAAUUGCCCUAUUAUCAAACUGGAAGGUUGGAACGCAUCGUCUGCACAACCACGUAGGUUUUUUUCCCCUUCGGUAUUUUCGUUUUGAAACGAAACGCGAGCAUUUUUCAAUUGUGCGCGAUGUUUCGCGUGCAUAUUACCAUACGUACUUACACCUCGCUUAAAAAGUGAAAUAUCGAGAAAAGAAAAAAAAACUCGUUGUACAGAUAACGUCCUUCCUUACAGUGUGAUAAUAACAGACCGAUUGACUCGAUAAAUGAGUGACGACACAAAACCGUUACUGUUGAACGGAAAUUCCCGUGUCUAGCGUUCGUAACGCGGAGACGGCACGUCCCUUUUGAAAUCUAUCCCGGACUCGCGCCACCGGUUGCGGUUUCACAACAAUAAUGCAUCGUCAUAGGUGCGUACUGCGAGUACAUACGAUAAUACUACGUGCGAUUUCUAUGCUUAAUACCGGGAUGCAGUUUAGGACUAUUGUAGGUUUCUCUGGGGGAAUCGGCGGUGUGAUCGCGAUAAUAUGGGUGGUGCCGUGGUGAAAAACAUUGCGUCGCGCAGGUGCAGCUGGCCGCCGUCAUCUCAGACGUCGGCCGACGUGCUCUCGACGCCGUUCAUCCGGAACGAGACGGCCACGCGACUCCGUCCGUCGUGGUCCAAGUCGACCGUCUCGGUCUCCUCCCGGGGCACGGCGUGGUACACUGCAACAUUAGGAAAACCCGCAGGCGCAAACAAAAAUAUUAUGAAAACGGCGAAGUCGGUACCAGGCGUGUAAAAUGCGCGUAAAAUAUUAUCAACUACAGGCGGGCAUUGUAACAGAAUACUGUUAGGGACGGCCCGAUACCGGUUUUUACCCAUGUCCACACGUACGCGAUGGUUACCGGCAGGUAGGUAGGUAUCCGAUAUCUGAAAUCGGAAAACACGUUUCGGAUAUAGAAAUCCAAUCGUUAUACCGGUUGAGAAUCCGUAAUUUUUUUUAACAAUUAUUUCGUUUUUUUUUUUUUUUCACGUCCAAAGACAUGG